rnacentral:snRNA from 1 species
AUCGCUUCUCGGCCUUUUGGCUAAGAUCAAGUGUAGUCUCUGUUCUUAUCAGUUUAAAAGUCUCGUGGAGUUAAAACUAAAUGACUUUUGAAAUUAAAAAAAAAAAAGAUUAAAUGAGAAUUCCAC